rnacentral:tRNA from 1 species
GCCUGGGUGGCUUAGUCGGUUAAGCGUCCGACUUCAGCUCAGGUCAUGAUCUCACAGUCCGUGAGUUCGAGCCCCGCCUCGGGUU